GUUCCAGCACGUCAUAGAGUCAAUCCCAACAGUUUUGCGCAAACUAACGAUAGGCAAGGAAAGGAGAAAACUGUGAACGCACACGACGGCCAACAUUUCCUCCUUUCUCUGCCUGUCGUUUUGUCUGACCUGACAAGACAGGGAGGAGCGGAGACAACACAGCCAGCUGCCUAAGCCAAAAAUACCACGCGCCGUAGCCAGCAGAGACACUUCAGGGACCCGCGUCUUUUCCAAACCCACAGACCACACCGCCUCCCCCAGCUGAAACACGCUUGGCCGCCGCCCCUACGCCCCAAGCCAACGUCAACGUCAUCACGCUACAAGGAGACCGAGAAGGAGCGUGCGCACUGGCGUUGUUGCUGGAGCAACUGGGGAGCACAGCUGGGAUGAGGUCUGAAAGGUCUUCAUUUCUACAGCUUCCAGUUGAUGCCGAAGGACACUGAGAGGCAAGGAGUGACUGAUGCACAGGGAAAGCCUCCAGGAGACUUCGUUGUUGAGAGGAUUAGCCUGAGGAUAUCGGCCAUUUCUGCGUUCUGAGCACAAAGACGAGACACAGACCCUUGCUUAAGUCACAGUUGUGUGGUAUCAGACAUCUAAACAGACAAGUGCAUAAGAGUGAUAGGAUGCCAGAGAUGGCUUACUGGAGAAGGUAACCCUCUGACGACUGAAAAGUAACUGAAGGGACUUUGUUUAUGCAAUUCAGAGAAGGCACGACAGUGUGAAGAUGUUGGGGAGAGGCUAGAGGGAAUGUUGGCCAUUGCCUGCCGGAAUCUUCAAAUCUCUCUUUUUUUCCAACACAGUUAUCUGCAUUUGUUUGACCAGGAAACAAUGACCCUUUUAAGUUUAUCCCCCCACCACCAAUUAAAAAAAAAUUCUGUAAUUCAGUGACAAUCAUGAAAAGGUUUCUAUCUAAUUAAAAGAAAGAAGGGCUAAUAACAUAAA